GUAGGUGGCAAGCGUUGUCCGGAAUUAUUGGGCGUAAAGCGCGCGCAGGUGGUUCUUUAAGUCUGAUGUGAAAGCCCCCGGCUCAACCGGGGAGGGUCAUUGGAAACUGGGGAACUUGAGUGCAGGAGAGGAAAGUGGAAUUCCACGUGUAGCGGUGAAAUGCGUAGAUAUGUGGAGGAACACCAGUGGCGAAGGCGACUUUCUGGCCUGUAACUGACACUGAGGCGCGAAAGCGUGGGGAGCAAACAGGGAUUAGAUGCCCUGGUAGUCCACGCCGUAAACGAUGAGUGCUAAGUGUUGGGGGGGUUUCCCGCCCCUCAGUGCUGCAGCUAACGCAUUAAGCACUCCGCCUGGGGAUACGGUCGCAAGACUG
rnacentral:rRNA from 1 species